GUGAGGGGAAACAGACGGGAGUUGUUCAGCGGGAAGAAAGAAGCAUUACCGUCGCCAUCCGAUCUCUGAUGCGUGGUGAUGCAGGUGGUGCGGGACAACGUUUUGUUUGAUGGUUUGAAGUGUGCCGAGGAUGAGGAAAGAGUUGCAGAUUUGCUUGUCUCAGAAGCAGAUGGGAUUAACUUUGCAGUUUUUCCAUUGGGAAUGGAUGGCAUUGGGAAUUUUGUAAUUAGGAAUGGGUGGCUUGGGCAAGAUAUAUCCUGCUUAGCCAUCUUCAAGAAUGAUUAAUUUUGAUCAUAAUUUUAUCAUGAUUUUAUCUUCUUGGUAAAUGAGUAAUUGGAAAAAAAUUUAUGAUAGUCCAUCUGAUUUAAGGGAAAUGAUAUAAAUUUUUGUCCAAGGACUGGAUUGAUGGUAGAGAUGGAAUCCUAGAAGACAAGCAUUUGUAUCUACAAGAAAUUAUUCUCCAGCUCAUGUAUUUGUUGUGCAACUCAACCUAUUACUUCGUUGUAUUAAAAGAGAAGAAUUAAGAAGAGAUCAGCAAUUUGGUUGGCACCUAUUGUUUAUAGUUGUACUGUGGAAAGUAUUGCUAGAAAGAAAUCCUGCACAGGCUGUUAUUGUUUUCAGUUGAUUCAAGGAAUCAAAGUUUCUUGGCUGGAGUGACCCACAUCUGCUUCUAGUAAAAGAUGAUGGAUGAUGUAUUGUACUUCAUAAAUGUAUGCCUGCUUAGUUGAUUA